GUGAGCUGCAAGACAGGGGGCAUCCUGCUUGGGGUGCCCCAGACUCUCAGAACUAUGGACACUUCCUUCCUAUUUCAGCUUUCUCACAGCUUCUGAACCUAGCCCUGUCUUCAGAACUGUUGUCAACAGAAUGAUAGUGAAGGAUUAGCUGUGGGAUGAUGGUGGGGCUUGAUCUGAAACAGUGGCUUACGAGUGACGCACCCUACUGGAUGUGAGAAUGAUGGGAGACAAGAACACAAAUGAUGCUGGCCUGACAUCCCCCUGGCUUGUAAAAGAUGACACAUUCUUCUCUGGAUAAACCAGCUUCCAUGAAGCAAAGGCCCAAAGCAGUGCCCUCCUGUCUG
ensembl:lncRNA